rnacentral:misc_RNA from 1 species
GAUGAAGAACGUAGCGAAAUGCGAUAAGUAAUGUGAAUUGCAGAAUUCAGUGAAUCAUCGAAUCUUUGAACGCACAUUGCGCCCGCCAGUAUUCUGGCGGGCAUGCCUGUCCGAGCGUCAUUUCAACCCUCAAGCCCCCGGGCUUGGUGUUGGAGAUCGGCGAGCCCCCCGGGGCGCGCCGUCUCCCAAAUAUAGUGGCGGUCCCGCUGUAGCCUCCUCUGCGUAGUAGCACACCUCGCACUGGGAAACAGCGUGGCCACGCCGUAAAACCCCCCACUUCUGAAAGGUUGACCUCGGAUCAGGUAGGAAUACCCGCUGAACUUAAGCAUAUCAAUAAGCGGAGGA